UUCUUAUCAAGAGCAGGCGGAGGGACCAGCCCGAUGAAGCCCGGCAACCGGCGUAAUAGCACGGUGCUAAUUCUUGCGGAGACGUAAUGUUUCUGAGAGAUGAGAA
rnacentral:ncRNA from 2 species